AUUGAACGCUGGCGGAAUGCUUUACACAUGCAAGUCGAACGGUAGAGGGGGCAACCCCUUGAGAGUGGCGAACGGGUGAGUAAUAUAUCGGAACGUGCCCAGUCGUGGGGAUAACGUAGCGAAAGUUACGCUAAUACCGCAUACGAUCUAAGGAUGAAAGCGGGGGAUCGCAAGACCUCGCGCGAUUGGAGCGGCCGAUAUCAGAUUAGGUAGUUGGUGAGGUAAAGGCUCACCAAGCCAACGAUCUGUAGCUGGUCUGAGAGGACGACCAGCCACACUGGAACUGAGACACGGUCCAGACUCCUACGGGAGGCAGCAGUGGGGAAUUUUGGACAAUGGACGCAAGUCUGAUCCAGCCAUUCCGCGUGCAGGAUGAAGGCCCUCGGGUUGUAAACUGCUUUUGUACGGAACGAAAAGGUUUCUAUUAAUACUAGGAGCUCAUGACGGUACCGUAAGAAUAAGCACCGGCUAACUACGUGCCAGCAGCCGCGGUAAAGUG
rnacentral:rRNA from 1 species